GAUUUUAGUCAAUUCAUAUGAGUUUAACUAGGCCCAAAUAUUUGUUUCCUAAAACUUACUACUACUUAUUGUUUUAUUUAAAUCCCCUGUUUAUAUAUAGAUUUAACUCAAAAUAGAGCCAAAGCCAGAUUCAAACUUUCCCUAA
rnacentral:rRNA from 1 species